GGAGGGGCGCGAGGUUUCAAGAUGGCGGUAGCUGAGGGGUUGACCGAGAGACCCAGUUGAAGGCCUUUACGAAGUGAAAGAGGCCGGGAGUCGCCCCCUACCCGCUUCUCGUAGUCCUGGGAGCACAGCAGAAGUUUGUGUUUUGAACUCUUGAGAGUCAAGCAUUAUAUCUGAACUAGAACUGAAUCUGAAUUAAAUAUGCUUAAAUUAAUGAGUUUUUAGUGUCUUAGAAGUAUUGAGAAUGUACAGCAUACAUGCCAAGAAAAACCAUGGAGAGAGGCAAAGGUGAGGUUUUUCUUUUUUUAAUGAACAAGUAAACCAUACAAAUUGUCAACAUGGGACGGAGAUCUACAUCAUCCACCAAGAGUGGAAAAUUUAUGAACCCCACAGACCAAGCCCGAAAGGAAGCCCGGAAGAGAGAAUUAAAGAAGAACAAAAAACAGCGCAUGAUGGUUCGAGCUGCAGUUUUAAAGAUGAAGGAUCCAAAACAGAUA
rnacentral:lncRNA from 1 species